rnacentral:rRNA from 1 species
CAGCCCUUGACAUCCCGGUCGCGGUUUCCAGAGAUGGAUUCCUUCAGUUCGGCUGGACCGGUGACAGGUGCUGCAUGGCUGUCGUCAGCUCGUGUCGUGAGAUGUUGGGUUAAGUCCCGCAACGAGCGCAACCCCCGUCCUUAGUUGCUACCAUUUAGUUGAGCACUCUAAGGAGACUGCCGGUGAUAAGCCGCGAGGAAGGUGGGGAUGACGUCAAGUCCUCAUGGCCCUUACGGGCUGGGCUACACACGUGCUACAAUGGCGGUGACAAUGGGACGCUAAGAGGCAACUCUUCGCAAAUCUCAAAAAGCCGUCUCAGUUCGGAUUGGGCUCUGCAACUCGAGCCCAUGAAGUUGGAAUCGCUAGUAAUCGUGGAUCAGCAUGCCACGGUGAAUACGUUCCCGGGCCUUGUACACACCGCCCGUCACACCAUGGGAGUUGGUUUUACCUGAAGACGGUGCGCUAACCCGCAAGGGAGGCAGCCGGCCACGGUAGGGUCAGCGACUGGGGUG